CAUUGAAAUACCGGUUCUUCAAUGAUCACCGAAGUUAAGAGAUGUUGGACUUGGUCAGUACCUAGAUGGGUCACCUCUUGGGAAUACCAGAUGCUGUAA